ACUGUUGCCAUGGCAACCGACAGGUGUCUAUGCCAAGUUGUCCUCUGUGUCUCUGGAGGAUGAGGUGAGCCUCAGAGAACGUGCAAUAUGGACCAUAAAACCACUUACAAGAUUUUUCAAUGCAAAGAUGUCGAUUGUACAACGUUUGACCUUUUUACGUCUUGGCCUGUAGAUUUGUUGGUCAGCUACGGGAGGCGCCCCCGGCCCCGGGGAACGAAGGCUGAAUGAAGAGGGCCGGACGCGGAGAGGGACGACCGAAAUGGAGGAGGAGACGGCAGCAACAGGCCUUUGUGCCACCAAAAUGAUGCCUCUUGCAUAUGGACUCGGUGGGCUGCUCUGUGAGUUCUACACUAAUUGGGACGAUUGUUUUUAUGAAUGGGGAUAGUCUGGUGGAUCUACAUGCAAUAAAUGUAU